rnacentral:snoRNA from 1 species
AACCCACGAUGAGGGCACCUUCUCAGGAUAUCCUUAAAUCUCUCCCAUGCAUUAUACAAUGUCUCAAGCUCAAAUUGAGUAAAGGAAGAGAUGUCAUUCCUCAACUU